rnacentral:rRNA from 1 species
UACGUAGGGUGCGAGCGUUGCCCGGAUUUAUUGGGCGUAAAGGGCGCGUAGGCGGCCACGCACGUCCGUUGUGAAAUCGCCCGGCUCAACUGGGCGGGGUCAGCGGAUACGGUGUGGCUCGAGCAAGCUAGGGGGCAAUGGAAUUCCCGGUGUAGUGGUGGAAUGCGUAGAUAUCGGGAGGAACACCAGUGGCGAAGGCGGUUGCCUGGAGCUUUGCUGACGCUGAGGCACGAAAGCGUGGGGAGCAAACAGGG